rnacentral:rRNA from 1 species
UUUGGAUGAUAUAAAAAAACGAACAAGGUUUCCGUAGGUGAACCUGCGGAAGGAUCAUUAAAGAAAUUUAAUAAUUUUGAAAAUGGAUUUUUUUGUUUUGGCAAGAGCAUGAGAGCUUUUACUGGGCAAGAAGACAAGAGAUGGAGAGUCCAGCCGGGCCUGCGCUUAAGUGCGCGGUCUUGCUAGGCUUGUAAGUUUCUUUCUUGCUAUUCCAAACGGUGAGAGAUUUCUGUGCUUUUGUUAUAGGACAAUUAAAACCGUUUCAAUACAACACACUGUGGAGUUUUCAUAUCUUUGCAACUUUUUCUUUGGGCAUUCGAGCAAUCGGGGCCCAGAGGUAACAAACACAAACAAUUUUAUCUAUUCAUUAAAUUUUUGUCAAAAACAAGAAUUUUCGUAACUGGAAAUUUUAAAAUAUUAAAAACUUUCAACAACGGAUCUCUUGGUUCUCGCAUCGAUGAAGAACGCAGCGAAAUGCGAUACGUAAUGUGAAUUGCAGAAUUCCGUGAAUCAUCGAAUCUUUGAACGCACAUUGCGCCCCUUGGUAUUCCAGGGGGCAUGCCUGUUUGAGCGUCAUUUCCUUCUCAAACAUUCUGUUUGGUAGUGAGUGAUACUCUUUGGAGUUAACUUGAAAUUGCUGGCCUUUUCAUUGGAUGUUUUUUUUCCAAAGAGAGGUUUCUCUGCGUGCUUGAGGUAUAAUGCAAGUACGGUCGUUUUAGGUUUUACCAACUGCGGCUAAUCUUUUUUUAUACUGAGCGUAUUGGAACGUUAUCGAUAAGAAGAGAGCGUCUAGGCGAACAAUGUUCUUAAAGUUUGACCUCAAAUCAGGUAGGAGUACCCGCUGAACUUAAGCAUAUCAAUAAGCGGAGGAAAA